UGUCCAGGGAGGGACCUGGGAAUCGAACCCACAGUGUUCCGCUUACCGGGCAGAUGCCAUGUCCACUAGGCUACCCUGGAC